rnacentral:misc_RNA from 1 species
UAGAGUUCUAAACAACUCCCAACCCGUGUGGACGUACCUCAGUUGCCUCGGCAGGUCGCCCCUACCUACCCGGUAGGGACGGUUAAGCCUGCCGGCGGACCACUAAACUCUGUUUAUUAUUGAAUUCUGAACCUAUUACUUAAUAAGUUA